ACUGAGGACCAAGGAGUCUGAGUCUGACAGAGCAGGCCUUUGCUGAGCCCUCCUCCUAGGCAAAGGGGUGGAGAAGGCAGCCCUGAUUGGAGGAAACCAGAGGGUUGGUUGAGUUACGAGCCAGCAUUU
ensembl:scaRNA